rnacentral:rRNA from 1 species
UACGUAGGAUCCAAGCGUUGUCCGGAUUUACUGGGUGUAAAGGGUGCGCAGGCGGACUUGUUAGUCAGAGGUGAAAUCUCACUGCUCAACAGUGAAACUGCCUUUGAUACUGCAGGUCUUGAAUCCAGAAGAGAGUUGUGGAAUUCCGAGUGUAGCAGUGAAAUGUGUAGAUAUUCGGAAGAACACCAGCGGCGAAGGCCGCAACUUGGUCUGGUAUUGACGCUCAGGCACGAAAGCAUGGGGAUCAAACAGG